rnacentral:lncRNA from 1 species
GGGUGGGGCUGGGCGCCCUCCCCACCCCCACGAGGGCCGCGGCCGUGGGGCGCUGGUAGCUCUCCCGCCCCUCCGCCCUGCACCCCUCCCGCCCUAGGGCUCUUUCCUGGACUGCGGCUGCAGCCUUCUCUUCCCGGAGGGCUCAGAGUUCGUCCCCUUUUCGCGAUUGGGAACGUGGACACGCCGGAGCCUGGAUGCAGAAGGGCGCGCGGGAACAGGGAGCUGGUGCGCGAGCCGCAGCCCAGCGUCCAGGCCGCCCCACUCUCUGCUGAUCCAAAGGACUAGGGAAACCCUGCGCGCCGACGGUGGCCUGGACGUUGGCGCGGGCCCUGGCGCUAAAAAACGGAUCCCAUUUCCAGAAAGGCGGGCCGGGUAUCCCGCUCCUGCCUCCUGGAGAAUUAGCUCGGCGGAGGUCGACCAGCCGGGUAGGGAGGGAGGGAUGGAGGGACAGGCCUAGGGUCGACCAGCCGGAUAGGGAGUAGCUUCUGGGAGCUCCCUUGCCUACGGAGGGCCGGUGAGGCUGCCCUCAGAGCGCCGCCAGAAAAGGCCCCCAAGCGUGCAGCACCAGGUGGACGUUUGGAAGCUGCGAGUGGAAUCUCGUUUAAAAACUUCCGGCCCCACGCACACCAAGUAUCCAUCUUCGUCGUAGUUGGGGUGAGGAAGAGUGUGACUUCCCUACCCAGAGUCUGGUUGAGCACGGAUCCCGCCGAGGAGAGAAGGGUCCCGGCCGGGGGGAAGGUCCCUCUUUCUGGGACAAAGCGAUCCUUAAUUGUGGCCACCUUCCAAAGUCCGGGGCGAAUUCGCUACGCGCGUCUGCCCGGGCGGCGCUUGGUGGGUAGUCCCGCUUCCACCAAAACUCUGUGUUUCCUUUCUCUCAAAAUAAAACUCAACAAGCCAUAAAGCUUCCGACGCCGGUGGAGAAGGCGCCGCGGAUUUAUGGCCCCUGAAUUCCCUACUCUCUAAUUAUCCUUGUUUUUACUUGACUUAUGGGUAGUGACCAAUAAAAUCAUUUUCCAUUUUGGA